ACGCUCGACACCUACGGGAGGCAGCAGUUGGGAAUAUUGGACAAUGGAGGAAACUCUGAUCCAGUGACGCCGCGUGAAGGAAGAAGGUCUUCGGAUUGUAAACUUAUUUUGUCAGGGAAGAAAAAAUGACUGUACCUGAAGAAAAAAGCACCGGCUAACUACGUGCCAGUAGCCGCGGUAAUCUGAGCGGGCUGGCAAGGC
rnacentral:rRNA from 1 species